AUUGAACGCUGGCGGCAUGCCUAACACAUGCAAGUCGAACGGCAGCAUUAUCUAGCUUGCUAGAUAGAUGGCGAGUGGCGAACGGGUGAGUAACGCGUAGGAAUGUAUCAUAUAGAGGGGGACAACCUGGGGAAACUCAGGCUAAUACCGCGUAAUAUCUAAGGAUUAAAGCUGGGGACCUUUCGGGGCCUGGCGCUAUAUGGGCAGCCUGCGUUCGAUUAGCUAGUUGGUGGGGUAAAGGCUCACCAAGGCGACGAUCGAUAGCUGGUCUGAGAGGAUGGUCAGCCACACUGGGACUGAGACACGGCCCAG
rnacentral:rRNA from 1 species